rnacentral:rRNA from 1 species
UACAGGGGGUGCAAACGUUGCUCGGAAUUAUUGGGCGUAAAGCGCACGUAGGCGGUCUGUUAUGUCGGAUGUGAAAGCCCUUGGCUCAACUGAGGAAGUGCAUCCGAAACUGGCAGGCUAGAGUGCGGGAGAGGAGAGUGGAAUUCCUGGUGUAGCGGUGAAAUGCGCAGAUAUCAGGAAGAACACCCGUGGCGAAGGCGGCUCUCUGGAACGCAACUGACGCUGAGGCGCGAAAGCGUGGGGAGCGAACAGG